UAUGAACGCUGGCGGCGUGCCUAAUACAUGCAAGUCGAGCGAACAGAUGAGGAGCUUGCUCCUCUGACGUUAGCGGCGGACGGGUGAGUAACACGUGGAUAACCUACCUAUAAGACUGGGAUAACUUCGGGAAACCGGAGCUAAUACCGGAUAAUAUAUUGAACCGCAUGGUUCAAUAGUGAAAGACGGUUUUGCUGUCACUUAUAGAUGGAUCCGCGCCGCAUUAGCUAGUUGGUAAGGUAACGGCUUACCAAGGCAACGAUGCGUAGCCGACCUGAGAGGGUGAUCGGCCACACUGGAACUGAGACACGGUCCAGACUCCUACGGGAGGCAGCAGUAGGGAAUCUUCCGCAAUGGGCGAAAGCCUGACGGAGCAACACCGCGUGAGUGAUGAAGGUCUUCGGAUCGUAAAACUCUGUUAUUAGGGAAGAACAAAUGUGUAAGUAACUAUGCACGUCUUGACGGUACCUAAUCAGAAAGCCACGGCUAACUACGUG
rnacentral:rRNA from 1 species